UCAAAGUCCAAAUGCUACAGGCCAAUUUACAAGUUCUUAAAUUUGAGCCCAAAUACAAGAAAGGCCCAGCGGCCCAAAGACUUAAGUGUUUUCAGAAAACCCUAGGGUUCCUUUCCCUCUCUCGCGCCGCAGCCUGCCCAUGUGCGCCCUCGGCGUGCACACCGCCUGAGGUCUGCCACCGCCAGCCAGCAUUGCACCAAAACGGCAAGCCACUCCUCUGCCUUCGCCGAAGACCUGCAAACAAAGCAUGAAAGAAGAAACAAGCAGCAC
rnacentral:lncRNA from 1 species